ACGAACGCUGGCGGCUGCUUAACACAUGCAAGUCGAACGGAGUGGCGAACGGGUGAGUAACGCGUGAGCAACCUGCCUAUGACAGUGGGAUAGCCUCGGGAAACCGGGAUUAAUACCGCAUAGUCAUAGAUUGGCGCGCGUCUGAUUAGCUAGUUGGUGAGAUAACAGCCCACCAAGGCGACGAUCAGUAGCCGGUCUGGGAUGAUGAACGGCCACAUUGGAACUGGGACACGGUCCAAACUCCUACGAGAGGCAGCAGUGGGGGCUAUUGCACAAUGGGGGAAACACUGAUGCAGCGACGCCGCGUGAACGAAGAAGGUAGUCGUAUCGUAAAGUUCUGUCCUAUGGGAAGCAGUACCAUAGAAGAAAGCUCCGGCUAAAUACGUGCCAGCAGCCGCGGUAAUUC
rnacentral:rRNA from 1 species